AGCAGCCGCGGUAAUUCCAGCUCCAAUAGCGUAUAUUAAAGUUGUUGCAGUUAAAAAGCUCGUAGUUGAAUUUCGAGAUCAAAUUGUUGGUCGUGCCUUGGUACGCACUGGCAUUAUUGGUUUCUCCCUUCUGACGAACCAUGGUGUCAUUAAUUUGGUGUCUUGGGGAAUCAGGACUGUUACUUUGAAAAAUUAGAGUGUUUAAAGCAGGCUUACGCUUGAAUACAUUAGCAUGGAAUAAUGAAAUAGGACGUUUGAUUCUAUUUUGUUGGUUUCUAGGAUCGACGUAAUGAUUAAUAGGGAUAGUUGGGGGCAUUAGUAUUCAAUUGUCAGAGGUGAAAUUCUUGGAUUUAUUGAAGACUAACUACUGCGAAAGCAUUUGCCAAGGAUGUUUUCAUUAAUCAAGAACGAAAGUUAGGGGAUCGAAGACGAUCAGAUACCGUCGUAGUCUUAACCAUAAACUAUGCCGACUAGGGAUCGGAUGAUGUUAAUUUUUAAUGUACUCAUUCGGCGCCUUAAC
rnacentral:misc_RNA from 1 species